UACAGAGGUGGCAAGCGUUGUUCGGAAUUACUGGGCGUAAAGGGCGCGUAGGCGGCCUUCUAAGUCAGACGUGAAAUCCCCCGGCUUAACCUGGGAACUGCGUCUGAUACUGGAGGGCUUGAGUGCGGGAGAGGGAUGUGGAAUUCCAGGUGUAGCGGUGAAAUGCGUAGAUAUCGAGAGGAACACCUGCGGCGAAGGCGGGUUGCUGGGCCGACACUGACGCUGAUGCGCGAAAGCCAGGGGAGCGAACGGG
rnacentral:rRNA from 1 species